AUAAAAUUACCCGAAAGUGUUGUCAUUGUUAAAUAAAUUACGAAUGUGCGUCUUUGCGUCAAGGUCAUGAUUCUACAUAACAACAUCCGCUUGACCUCGCAAUGCCAAGAAGAAGAAAGGCGUGGAACAUUUGCUUAAGCCUGUCAAGAUCUUCAGCAGAUGUUUGAGCAAAAAGUCAUCAUCCUCUUCGUCACUCUUCAUCCGUAUUUGGGGUAACAAGCACCUGCUUCCCACAAGAGACUGGACAGCUGAUGUCAGACCUGCACCUUCCUUGAACAUGUUGGUAUCUUACUCUGUAUUUGUUCACGGUGGUCACCCCAGGGUCUCAGGACUCAAAUUGAGUGCUCUAUGGAUUAAACAGAAAAUGCAGUAUAAACAAGUGUUAUGUUGUCUUCAACAUGUUGGUAACUUACUCUGUAUUUGUUCACGGUGGUCACCCCAGGGUCUCAGGACUCAAAACGAGUGCUCUGUGGAUUGAACAUAAAAUGUAGAUCAACACUCCAACCAUCUGCAUUAGGGACUGAAUAAAGGAUGCCCUCUGUAGCUGGGAAUGUUAGAUCAGGCGGAUCAACAUUCCAUCCAUCUGCAUUAGGAUCUACCUUAGAGACACUCACUGGAGCUGUAAAUGGGAAGCAGGUCACUUACUUUGCAUUCGUCCUUGGUGGUCACCCAAGGGUCUCUAGAGUGAAAAUUACUCAAUCUAUGGAUUAAACAGAAAAUUUAGUUGUAUGAAGUGCAAUUUGGGACAUUCUUCCAGUUGUCGGCAACUUUGUGAAAAAGGCUGGAAACUUAAAUGCAGAAUUCUGGCCUGGUGUUUGGUCUGUGCUGUCUUUGGCUCUUGCAUCUCCAUCAUCCUGACCCUCUUUAGCAGCCUGUCCAUGUAUUUAUUUGGAGGCCACCAUGAGCACCCAUCUGCAUAAUAUGACUUUGUUACU